AUUGAACGCUGGCGGCAGGCCUAACACAUGUAAGUCGAACGGCAACAGGAAGCAGCUUGCUGCUUUUCUGACGAGUGGCGGACGGGUGAGUCAUGUCUGGGAAACUGCCCGAUGGAGGGGGAUACCUACUCGAACCGGUAGCUAAUACCGCAUAACGUCGCAACACCAAAGAGGGGGACCUUAGGGCCCCUUCCCAUCGGCUGUGCCCAGAUGGGAUUAGCUAGUAGGUGGGGUGACGGCUCACCUAGGCGACGCUCCCUAGCUGGUCUGAGAGGAUGACCAGCGACCCUGGAACGGAGACGCGCUCCAGACUCACAGGGGAGGCAUCAGUGGGGAAAAUUGCACAAUGGGUGCAAGCCUGACGCAGACAUGCCGCGAGUAUGAUGAAGGCCUUCGGGUUGUAAAGUACUUUCAGCGGGGAGGAAGGGAGUAAAGCUAAUACCUUUGCUCAUUGACGUUACCCGCAGAAGAAGCCCCGGCUAGCUCCGUG
rnacentral:rRNA from 1 species